AAAAAAGGGCAAAAUAACCAAAGCCCUUAAGCCCAUAAAAGGGCUGUUGAAAAGCGUAAGGCAGGCUUAAAGACUUAAGCCUUCGAACGAAAAAGAAAUGCCAAGCAGACUUCUGCGUAUAAGAAAUAGACGCACGUCCCCGCGAAAAUACUCACGCAAGCAAGGAAAAUUCUAGGCUUCUUAUCAAUCACUAAUUCUUGAACUCAGAAUCGAUUAUUUGACUGGUGUCAAUUGGACCGGGGUCUACGUAUUGGCUCGAGAAGUUUUCAGGAACCAGUUUUGCAGGCGAGCGGGCUACUGGUUAGGACUUUCUUCUCUUCCAGUGCUAUUGAUCUUUCUCUUUCUUUGCAUGUACGGAAAACUACAUGGUUGGUCGCCAAGGAGAGAGGACUAAAGUGAUCGGUGAUUUACUUAGCAACCUCAUGAACGCUAUCAAUGAAAGCUGUGAAACAUUAGGCAAUGAUGUGACACCCACUUCCUCCUCGGGCGCGAGGGGUUGCCUCCCCCCAUUGAGCAUAACAAAGCCAAAUGGAAAAGGAGCCUCCACUUCCAUAGGAGAAGAGACGACACAUGCCAUGGAAAGGCUCCUCGAAGCGUGGUUGACCGAUACGCUAGUAAGCACACUCAACUAGCCCACUCCAUGCAUGACUACAGGGUCUGCAAUAGCCCACACAAGGCAACAAACAGACGAACAGAGCGACCAACCAGACCCUCCAACACUAGGUAUAACUCACAAUGUUACUAACAAUGCAGGUGAUAGCGUCCUCGCCGUUGUUCUAAAGAGGAUGGAAGAAAUGAAGAAUGAAAAUAAAGUGCUCAGAGUUCAAUGGAAGAAUACCAAGAAGUGAAGACAAAACCAAAUGGAAAAGGAUCCUCCACGUCUAUAGGAGAAGGGACGACACCGUCUAUGAAGAGGCUUCUCGAAGCGUGGUUGACCAAUACGCUAGUAAGAACACUCACCUAGCCCACUCCAUGCAUGACUAUAGGGACCGCAAUAAGCCCACAUAGUGCAACAAGCAGACGAACAGAGCGACCAACCAGACCCUCCAAUACCAGGUAUAACUCACAAUAUUACUAACAAUGCAGGUGACAACGUCCUCGCCGCUGUUCUAAAGAGGAUGAAAGAAAUGGAGAAUGAAAAUAAAGCGCUCAGAGAUCAUAUGGAAGAAUACCAAGAAGGGACGACAAAACCAAAUGGAAAAGGAUCCUCCACGUUCAUAGGAGAAGGGACGACACUGGCCAUGAAAAGGCUCCUCGAAGCAUGAUUGACCGAUACGCUAGAAAGCACGCUCAACUCACCUACUCUAUGCAAGACUACAGGGACCGCAAAGAGCCCACACAAUGCAACAAGAAGACAAACAGAGCGACCAACCAGACCCUCCAACACCAGGAAUAACUCACAAUGUUACUAACAAUGCAGGUGACAGCGUCCUUGAUCACAGCAGACUCAACCUAAGGAUGAAUGGGCGUUAAUACCUUUACCCAAUAGCGAUAUCGGGGUCGAUUUUCCACUGGGAACUUCAAAUUGGAGUUGAGUAUUUGUAUGGUCUAGGAUUGUGUUUUAGCUCAUAAUUGAUCUUCUAACAUUUUUGGUUUUCUUUUGUUUAAGAGCUACAAUUUAUCAACUACAGUUGUAAAACUAGGUUAUGCUAAAA